rnacentral:misc_RNA from 1 species
AAUGGAAUGUAAUGGAAUGGAAUGUAUUAGAAUGUAAUGAAUUUUAAUGGAAUGUAUUCGAAUGGAUUCGAUUGGAAUGGAAUGUUUUGGAAGUGAAUGGAUUUUAAUGGAAUGGAUUUAAAAGGAAUGGAAUCGUACGGAAUGGAAUUUAAUGGAAUGGAAUUAAAUGGAAAUGAAUUAAAUUGAAUAGUAUGGAAUUGAAUUGAAUGGAAUGGAAUGUAAUGGAAUUUAAUGAAACGGAAAGGAAAGGAAUGGAAUGGAAUGGAAAGGAAGGUAAUGGAAUGGAAUGGA